CGGUGUCGUUCUCCGAGCCCAGGAGCUUGCCCUGGGACUCCAGGCUGGAGCUUCGGUGCCUAAAGUGCAGUGCGAGGCUGUGCAGUCGCGUGGGGCUGAUGUCCACCGACCUGCCAGGAGACGCCCAGUGUAGCUCCCUCCCACUUCCAUCCUUUCCUUUGGCCAAGAAGUGCAGAUGGAUGAGAUUCUCCUUAAACAGAGUUUGGGGACCUGGAAGAAUGAAGCUGUGGCUGUCAGAAAUGGCUGAUGGACCUAACGGAUGACACCCAGACAGCAUGUUUGCUGCUGUCCUUUCUGCUGACCAAGCCUCUCCUCUGCAGAUGCGUAUUCACCAGCUGCUGAGGGAUGGGAGAGGCAGCUCGUGCAUGUGUGAGGAUUUGGGGGUGAAUGCAGAAUCCCCCCCAAAUUGUUCAUUUUUCUAUUUCCUCUCUUCCCUAGUGAAACCCCUCUGGAUCAGACCUAGCUCUAAACAGCAUCUUCUUGGUUGUGUUCUUGAGCAGUGAGCUGUCUUACUGACAGGGUCCUGCAGGGUGGGCAUACUUGGGAGCCUGCAGGAGAUGUAGGAUGUCUGGCUAACUCCACAGCUAGUAAACCCAGGACAAAUGCAUCAGCAGCCUCUCAAGGCCAGGGAGAGAGCAUACAACUUGCCCCAGGAAAUUCACAGAUUUCUGAAAUUGGAUGCGAACUGAUCUAGCCUAAUAGGAGGAGAUCAACUGUUGGCUGGAAUCAACACAUCUUCCUGUUUAGUGGCUCAGUAAAACAUCCUUGCCUCUGUGCAUAAUGCACCAAGCUGGAGGCCACCAUCAGGGAGAAGUUCUUAGCCUGAUCUCAUUGACUUUUGAGCACUUGCGGUCUAAAGAGAGCGGGAACCAGGAGUGAGAGCAAACGGUGAAGGUUCAAGGGAACUAUUUCUGAGAUAAUAAACUCCUGCCAAAUCCUGCCA